rnacentral:rRNA from 1 species
AACGAACGCUGGCGGCAGGCCUAACACAUGCAAGUCGAACGCUCCGCAAGGGGAGUGGCAGACGGGUGAGUAACACGUGGGAACCUACCUCGAGGUGCGGAACAACCAAGGGAAACUUUGGCUAAUACCGCAUGUGCCCUUAGGGGGAAAGAUUUAUCGCCUUGGGAUGGGCCCGCGUCGGAUUAGCUAGUUGGUGUGGUAAUGGCGCACCAAGGCGACGAUCCGUAGCUGGUCUGCGAGGAUGAUCAGCCACACUGGGACUGAGACACGGCCCAGACUGCUCCGUGAGGCAGCAGUGGGGAAUAUUGGACAAUGGGCGCAAGCCUGAUCCAGCCAUGCCGCGUGUGUGAUGAAGGCCUUAGGGUUGUAAAGCACUUUCGCCGAUGAAGAUAAUGACUGUAGUCGGAGAAGAAGCCCCGGCUAACUUCGUGCCAGCCGCCGCGGUAACAC